GGAAUCUGCCCUUUGGUUCGGAAUAACAGCUGGAAACGGCUGCUAAUACCGGAUGAUGACGAAAGUCCAAAGAUUUAUCGCCAGAGGAUGAGCCCGCGUUGGAUUAGGUAGUUGGUGGGGUAAAGGCCUACCAAGCCGACGAUCCAUAGCUGGUCUGAGAGGAUGAUCAGCCACACUGGGACUGAGACACGGCCCAGACUCCUACGGGAGGCAGCAGUGGGGAAUAUUGGACAAUGGGCGAAAGCCUGAUCCAGCAAUGCCGCGUGAGUGAUGAAGGCCCUAGGGUUGUAAAGCUCUUUUACCCGGGAAGAUAAUGACUGUACCGGGAGAAUAAGCCCCGGCUAACUCCGUGCCAGCAGCCGCGGUAAUACGGAGGGGGCUAGCGUUGUUCGGAAUUACUGGGCGUAAAGCGCACGUAGGCGGCUUUGUAAGUCAGAGGUGAAAGCCUGGAGCUCAACUCCAGAACUGCCUUUGAGACUGCAUCGCUUGAAUCCAGGAGAGGUCAGUGGAAUUCCGAGUGUAGAGGUGAAAUUCGUA
rnacentral:rRNA from 1 species